UGCAAGUGGUAAAAAUAAAAAUAAUAAAAUAUUCAAGAAAAACAGUAGAAUAUCAUUCACAUUUAUAUUGCUUUCUUUUUAUAUUACUUUGCAAUUUAAAUCCAAAAUUCAUAUUAAAAAAAAAUUAAAAUCCUUUCCGUUUCGGAUAAAAGGAAAUGAAAAAGUGGCAAAAAAAACACGAAAACAGAAGAGGCGCGCUGUUACAAACAUGGCGCACAUACAGCUGUGUUUCAAUGCCAUAGCGUUCCACUAACAUGGCUGUAAAACAUUAAAAGUAAAAAUUCAAAAAACAUUUGACGUUCCUUCCACACACAGCGUUGCAUUUGGCACACAAAUUACGUUUGCUUUGAAUGUGGAUGAAUUGAAGAACAAACGCAAAAAACAAGAUGUGGUAUGGCGAAAGCGAAUGUUAUAGUCAAUUUUGCCCCAAAUAGCCCCAAUGCAGCAGGCGCAACAAAGAUGAAAAUAGUUGCACUCGAGCAAGCGUUCAUAAAUGACCGACCGACCGCCUAUAGUGCGUCGCGUUGUGAGUGUGUGAACGCAGAAUAUAUACAAUAAGAAACACAAAGAGGGGGGCAGCAGCAAAGAGCCAGCGCAUACAAGGAAAAUCGAUUAUGACAAGAAAACUGCAGCAACCUGUCGCCACUUUAGCAAAAUGCAAAGCUAUGUGAACACAUUUAAACUGUUAAUAUGCGGAUAAAAACAAUGAAAAUGAUCACGGACCAUUCAAAGCAGAAUGCUUGGUAGGCAAUUUGGUGAUAUCUCGCACACAAGCAACAAAAACCAAGAUGGCAGCGAAUAUGGAGUAUACGGCGAAUUGCGUAGAAGAAAGAAUGGCGGAAACUGUGAGAUACACACGGAAUACAUAUGGAUGUAUGUAAAAACAUGCGAAGCGAACUAUUCAAAAAAAAGAAAUGUCAAGCAAUUUCAUUACAAUAACAACAAACUGCGCAUAGCAAAAUUUAACAGUGCAACAGUAGUUGGCAUGUUGUCAUUAGCAUUGAAUAACACAGAACUGACAUACAUAUGUGUAUGUAUAUGUAAAUAUGUAUUUUUUUUACUAGUUGUUGCUUCCGUUCGCCCAAUACAAGCAAUUUGCAACACCACCACCACCAAUUAUCUGCUUCGACAUAAAUUUGAAACUUGGCGGCGUUAUGCUGCCACUUGGUAUGCCGCCAUACCAAUUGACCAUUUGCGGUGGAUACAUAUGUACAUAAGAAAUAAUGCUUUGGUUUAAUUUUUUUUUGUAAAGUGAAGCCUUGUAAACGAAAAUAUUGUCUUUAUGCGAGGUAGAAGUUCUAAUAUUGCUCGUUAGUGGCACCUUAGUGCAGGACUUUGUUCUACAAGUCUUCUUUAGGACAGUGUCUAAAGCGCACAACUCUUAUUCAUACACUGCAUUAGUGGUGUUCACUUUAGAAUUGACAUUAAAAAGGCAACAAUGUUUCAAUAAUCUGACCUUUAUUGUGCUUACAAAGUCAUUAAACAAUGUUCAAGAGUAUCAGCAUACAUAUUUGGUUGAAACUUUACUGAUAAAGACGAAUUACAAAUGGUUGUCUGUAUAUGAAGGCUCUUGGAUCUUGACUAACUUCUAUUUUUUAGACUCAAAAUUUUAAAUUUCGGUCUAUACAUAAUCAAUACAUAGGUUAGUACAUUUGGUACAGAAAUUAACUGAUGUGCAUAUGCUUUCAAGUGAUCGCAUUAAUUCCGAAACGUAGCAUUAUGAAUUUGCUAACGUUACUUACAUAUUUUUUAUUAGAAGAUUUAAGUAGAAAAGUAGUUAGUCAAGGGCAUUGUGCAGCCAAAUUGUUCAAGUGUUAAAAAAUAAACAAAUAAAUACCGCCAUCAAAGCGAGGAUAGCACAAAGUGCUCUGUAUGUGACCGCAUUGGCAACCCUCGGGUAGCCUAAUAUGCGUUGUUACUGCUAAAAAGGUAAUAUUCAGAUAUGCCUACACACUGUUCGCCCUAUAUGUGUACGUGUACGUGUAUGAAGCAUUGCAGCUACACGUGUGUGCGUUUGGGGGUACUACACGCGCGUUUAUUUGUAUGUUCAAUGUGCACUCAUGGCAGAUUAACUGAGUUUUUGAGACAAAUUAAUUUUCUUUGAUAUAAAUUCAAACGCAUUUGCGUUGGUGAUGAUGAUGACCGGCCAUAUGAUGAAAAACCAUAUUGUCUGUACACCCUGUGAUGACAUUUGGGGACAAGCAGCCCACGUCUAUAACCCUUCAACAACCUGCUGUUGCAGUCACUAUGCUAUUUUCUUAUAAAAGUAUAAAUGGGGAUGCCAAUGCGUGGCUAAAACAAAGGGAGGGCGGCGGGCAAAGACAAUAGCACAUAACGUAUACGUAUAUUAUAGUAUAUUAGCGCACACAGGAACUUGGCGUUACUUUAUACAACGAAACCAAAUAUAAGGUUGGAAAUGAAUACACCAACAAAUAGGCUAGGAAAUAAAUAUUACCGCGUGAGUUAUUUCAUAGCGCAAUAAACAUAGAAAAUUAUUAAUUAAUUUCAAAACUGCUUACCUGAUUAGCUUUGCGUGCGCGUCUUUCCAGUUCUAUUCUCUUUUCCAUUUUAUAUUUUUAUGUUUUUUUUUUGUGUUGUUUCUGAUGCACUCGUCGUACUUUUUCACUUGUAAUUCUCAGCUGCUGUUGCAAUUUCAGCUCCUUUUUGAGUGUGUUACAAUAU